rnacentral:rRNA from 1 species
GUUGAACGCUGGCGGCGUGCCUAAUACAUGCAAGUCGAGCGAACAGACGAGGCUCUUUCUCCUCUUACGUUAGCGGCGGGUGGGUGAGUCACACGUUUCUAACCUACCUUUAAGACUGGGAUCCCUUCGCGAAACCUUAGCUCCUACCGGAUCAUAUAUUGAACCUCAUGGUUCAUUCUUGCAAGCCCUUUUUGCUGUCCCUUAUUGAUGUAUCCUCGCCGCAUUAGCUAGUUGGUAAGGUAACGGCUUACCAAGGCCACGAUGCGUAGCCGACCUGAGAGGGUGAUCGGACACACUGGAACUGAGACACGGUCCAGACUCCUAAGGGAGGCAGCAGUAGGGAAUAUUCGGCAAUGGGCGAAAGCCUGACGGAGCAACGCCGCGUGAGUGAUGAAGGUCUUCGGAUCGUAAAACUCUGUUAUUAGGGAAGAACAAAUGUGAAAGUAAAUAUGCACGUCUUGACGGUACCUAAUGAGAAAGCAACGGCUAACUACGUG